rnacentral:lncRNA from 1 species
CAACAAUAAAUUCACCGGUCAGUUUCCGACCGCGGUAGUUGGUAUGCCUGGUUUGUCAUUUCUUGACAUCCGUUUCAACUCUUUCUCCGGUUCAAUCCCACCACAAAUCUUUGGUCAGAACCUCGACGUUCUCUUCAUUAAUGACAACACCUUUACUGCGAGCCUCCCGGAGAUACCUGGCGAUAGUCACAUCCUUUUUCUAACUUUAGCAGACAAUAAGUUCAACGGUCCUCUCCCGAGAAGCAUCCUAAGAUCUAUGACAACGUUAACCGAGGUACUUUUCUUGAAUAACGACUUUACGGGUUGUAUCCCUUACGAAAUCGGGUUACUCAAGGGAGCAUCAGUUAUCGAUAUCAGUGGAAAUAAGCUCACAGGUCCUUUACCCCUUUCACUUAUGUGUCUAGAGAAAGUGGAGCAGCUCAACUUUGCUGGGAAUCUCUUGUUUGGGGCAAUCCCAGAUGCAGUGUGCAUGUUCCUCCGAGAGAAUCUUGUCAACUUUUCCUUGUCUGAUAACUAUUUCACACACGUGGGGCCAUGGUGUAAGAUUUUGGUUGAAAGAGGUGUUCUUGAUGUUAGGAAUAACUGUAUUCCUUUCUUCCCAGGACAAAGAUCUAUUGAAGAAUGUGCGGAGUUCUUUGUCAAACCUAAUUACUACUGUCCUCACGCAUGGUUUCAUAGUUUUCUUCCUUGUAGAUAUUCUCACAUAUCUUCUUCCUCUGCUAGUGAUUUUAUGCCCAUGGUGGCUCCCUCACCUUGAUGUUCAUCAUCAUAUAUAUCAGCGUGUUUGUUCUCUUCAUUGUAAUGAAAAUAAUCGAAUUAUGUUUCCACCAACAAAAUCAUGGUAAGAGAAGGCCAAGAGUGGUGUUGUGUUGGGAAUACAAGUAUAAUCUUGUAUUUGUUAACUAGUAUAUGAUUUCCAUGUCCAUUAAUGAAUGUGUCAAUGCCAUUUGCGUAUAGUAGUCACGAUUCGUGAUACAAAGAAAAUUCUAUUGUUUUUAUGGUUAAAUAAGACGAAUUGAUAGUUGAGUUAAUUAAAAGCAAUGCCACAGUGUUUGCCUGUAUUAAUAAAUUGAUGAUUAUAAGUACAAAAAGUGUUAUAUUAAUACGUAGACUUAUAUAGAGAUAAAAAAGAAAAAAUAUAUAUAUAGUGAGUUUGUUUGAAUGUACACCGUAGGGAUAGCGAUAACGAUAUAAUUGCGAGUAAUGUAAUAAUGUAAGUGGUCCUACUCAUGGUCUAUCAUAUAAAAUUAUAAAUCAUGUGAAUGGGCAUUUUUCCUCCACGUCUAUUGCAUUUGAUGGGUUAAAUGUACCAAAGAUAAAGAGGGGUGACCAAAGGUGACCCCUUCCUACCAAACCCAUUAACAUUUUUCGUCAACUAAUCAUUUAUAAUUUUCUUUUUCCAAUCACAAUAGACUGCAUCCAGCUAAGAAAAGGCAACCCGCAGCUACGAAAUAACAUUUAACUUACCUAUCUAUCUAUAUAUAAUACUCCAUCCGUUUUUCAAUCCGUUUUUCAAUAUAAGUCGUUUUAAAGAAACUUUUUUGUUCCAAAUUAUGUCGUUUUUGGUUUUCUAUGUAACAUUUAUUAAUAAUUAAUGUUGUCUGACCAAUGAUAAUAUAUCUUCUAUUUUUCUAUUGGUUAAAUUGUGGUUUGGUAAAUAAUUAAUGAUGUUUUUGUUUUGAAAAUAUAAAAAAUUAAUGAUUUUCUUAAUCUAUGUGCAUAGCUUUAAAACGACUUAUAUUAAAAAACGGAAGGAGUAAUAAAGAGGGGUUUUCUCUCACCACAGGCUGCCAGAUCAGCAAGGAGGAGGUAGCGUUUUUGGACAGGUGUAGCCUCAGCAAACCAACUAUAUAUGUGUAAUUCCGGUCUUAUUCGAACUGGACUUUUAUUAAAAUUUGUUAUUAAGCCCAAUAUUAUGUUAAGCCCGCGUAUUAUUAGCUAUCUUACUUCCCUGACACAAUUUCCAGAAACUUAAAUCGACGUUCAGAUCUCCGUAUCGCCUCAGCUUUCCAUUAAUCUGUUCUUAACUCAGAGUUUUUGCGUGAUCCACUCCUCUCACUGGAAGCUUUCAAUCGAUCCAGAAACAUAUUUUGUUCUAGGGACGAUGGCGACCAGCUUUCAGCCGGUCGAGUUCUUCGCAGCUGGUGGUCACGCUUUCGUUUUCACGGAGGCACCUAAUCUAUAUUAAUAAGAAGGGAGCUAAUGGGUUGAUAUCCUCCUCAAUGAUGAAAAGAUUGUCCUCCUCAUCUUCCCUCGCCUUCCUUUUCCAAUAUAAACUGCCAUCACCUAUUAUCUUAACCAUAAUAUAUUUAAUUUUAUUGAGUGCUUUUUAUAUUUAUGGUUAAUUAUAGGUUUGGAAAUUUCAUAGAGGUAUUCCAAAUUUCACAGAGAUUCAGUCCCAUAUGUUCCGUUUGAUUUGGGUCUAUGACUUUUAAAUUUUUUGUUUUUGUUAAGGAAAAGGGAUGAUGAUAGACGCGCUGCUUCUGCUGUUGCCAAAUUGAUGAUAGACGCGCUGCCUCAGAGCGUGCUGCCAAAUUGAUGAUAGACGCGCUGCUUCUGCUGUUCCUGGCUCUCGCAAGACGGUGACUUGAGGCUGCGCAAGCUCAGGUUUGGCUCCUUUGAAAUCUGUGUGUUCUUUGGUCGUUUAUAUUUUCAGUGCGUUAAGGUGUUAGCUUCUGCUUCUUGAUUAGUUUUAAACAAAGUGUGGAGUAUGUUACAACAAUCAAGCAGAAAAAUUCAAGGUAGACCGAAAGUUAGAUUCUUUGAUGUGUGAAUCUGUGGCUAUGAUGUAUUAAAACAUUUUGGUUUGCAGGAACAAAUUGUUACCAUGAAGUUAAGAUCGUAUGGAUAGUUGGAAUCUCCUAUAGUUGGAACCUCCUUUGCAGCUGAAGAAUAAGCCUGUCGCUUCAAGUUUCUUACACACAGCUCCUCAUCAUGGGAACUUCGUAGACUCUGCUUCUGGUGGUUAAAGUUUUCAUUCAUAAACAUCGGAAUAACAAAGGAAAAUUUUGACUUUUGAGAUUCAGGUUCCAUGAGCACUAAAGUUUGGUUUUGGAUAGGGAGUUUAGGUAAGACGUUCCUGACUCUUGAUCGACGCACAUGGAAAGUCACUGCAGACGUAGCUGAAGGCGACACUGACGAUAUCAACCAGGCGGUGAAAGCUGCAAGGAAGACCAUUGAUGUGGACCUUGGCCAAAAGAUGACCGCUUAUGUGUAAUAUUAUAUAUUGUUCUCGAGUAUUGAAAGUUAUGAAAUUAAUGUGAUAUGGACUUAUCUUUGUUUUGUUUUCAGGAAAGGUGAAGGACAAUGUUGAGAUUCAUGGGACAAUGGGAAGACCUAUGAACAAGCAAAAAAAGCAGAGAUUCUAGUGCUUGCCAGAUUGUUUCACUCCUAUGCUGGUAUACCACACAAAAAUCUUGAGAAUAUUAUAAAAGUUUCUUGCUUUUAUUAGUAAGUUUGCUUUGAUGUGUAGGAUGUGCGGAUAAGAUUCAUGGACUAAUUAACAGUUCCAGUUGAUGGAAACUAUCAUGUCCAGACACUGCAUGAACCAAAAGGUGUUGCUGGACAGAUCAUUUCAUGGAACUUUCCGCUUCUUAUGGUUGCUUGGAAAGUUGGUCUUUCUCUUUCUUGUGGUAAAACCAUUGUCCUCAAAACCGCCGAACAAACUCCCCUCACUGCUUUUUACGGAAAGCUUUUCCUUGAAGUAAUCAAUGUUCCUUUCACCUGCUACUUACCAUUCUUGCUACUAAAAUAAAAAGCUGUAAGUAAACAAUGUUUCUUGAAAUGUAUGAUAGGCAGGUCUUCCUCUUGGUGUUAUAAACAUAGUUUCUGAAUUUGGUCCAAUCGCAGGGACUUUCCUCACGAGCCUCAUGGGUUUGGCUCUUACCAAAUUUUCUAAGUACAUCUUCACUUUUUGUUCUGGCGUAUAUGUGUCUUCUUUUAUUGUUUGUUUCUCUUUAAUUAAGAAAAGUAGGGAUUGGCUAUAAGCUCUAGCUGUGUGGUUGAUUCAGAACAAUGAUUGGCACGCGCUGUAUCCUUUGACUUAUUUUUUUUUCUUUUUCUUAAUCGCAUCUCACCAUAUUUUUCCUCUCUUUUGCUUAAUCGCACGGUACCAUACUCAAUUUUGCUCUCGAUUGUUGUCAGGUUAAUAUAAUAGAUACUCGACUCAUCACUGAAGUUGAGGGAGGGAAGUCUCUUAGAAAACCAACAUAUAGAAGCUAUAUCAGUUUAGAGAAACAGGGAAGAAGCAAGAGAGGAGAGAUGCACAUACAUAGCCAAGAAGAUGCAAGAACUUAACAAAGAGCAGAGGAGGAAAAGUCACUAGCUUUAGCUGCUCAAGCGGAGCUCAGAAACGCGAAGGAAGAGUCAGGUUAAGCGAAGACAGGAGUCUCUUCAAUAGAAAGUCAAUUGAGGCGGAAAGGGAAAUGAGUGGGGUGAUGGAAUUCAUGGACCAUAGUCAGCUACAAUGCCUAUACAAUGUGGUCGCUGAAGCCUUCGAGAGAGAAGGAGACUUGAAACAAAUGGAAUAUUUAUUAAGGCUACUGCAAUCAGAGAGAAUAAAACAAAGAUGUGUUCACCUUUGUCAUUUUAUAAGGAUUUAUGACAUAUAAGUGACUUUGAAGGGUACUUCUCAAAACUUUAUGCUAAUCUCAGAUUAGUCUAUAAAUGAUAAACUGUACAAAUGAUUUAUUAACUUUUUAUGCCUGGUUUGUCAUUUCUUGACAUCCGUUUCAACUCUUUCUCCGGUUCAAUCCCACCACAAAUCUUUGGUCAGAACCUCGACGUUCUCUUCAUUAAUGACAACACCUUUACUGCGAGCCUCCCGGAGAUACCUGGCGAUAGUCACAUCCUUUUUCUAACUUUAGCAGACAAUAAGUUCAACGGUCCUCUCCCGAGAAGCAUCCUAAGAUCUAUGACAACGUUAACCGAGGUACUUUUCUUGAAUAACGACUUUACG